rnacentral:rRNA from 1 species
UACGUAGGGGGCAAGCGUUAUCCGGAUUUACUGGGUGUAAAGGGAGCGUAGACGGAAUGGCAAGUCUGAAGUGAAAACCCACGGCUCAACCGUGGACUUGCUUUGGAAACUGUUAAUCUAGAGUACUGGAGGGGUAAGCGGAAUUCCUAGUGUAGCGGUAAAAUGCGUAGAUAUUAGGAAGAACACCAGAGGCGAAGGCGGCUUACUGGACAGUUACUGACGUUGAGGCUCGAAAGCGUGGGGAG